ACGGAGGAUGAAAGCGUUAUCCGGAUUUAUUGGGUUUAAAGGGUGCGUAGGCGGAUUAAUAAGUCAGUGGUGAAAACCUUCAGAUUAACUGGAGAACUGCCAUUGAUACUGUUAGUCUUGAGUACGGUCAAGGUAGGCGGAAUGUGUAAUGUAGCGGUGAAAUGCUUAGAUAUUACACAGAACACCGAUUGCGAAGGCAGCUUACUGGGCCAUUUCUGACGCUGAGCCACGAAAGCGUCGAGAGCGAACAG
rnacentral:rRNA from 1 species